GGCGGACGGGUGAGUAACGCGUGAGAAUCGGCCCUCAGGUUGGGGACAACCAUUGGAAACGGUGGCUAAUACCGAAUAAGCCGAGAGGUGAAAGAUUAAUUGCCUGGGGAAGAGCUCGCGUCUGAUUAGCUAGUUGGUAGGGUAAAGGCCUACCAAGGCACCGAUCAGUAACUGGUCUGAGAGGAUGGCCAGUCACACUGGGACUGAGACACGGCCCAGACUCCUACGGGAGGCAGCAGUGGGGAAUUUUCCGCAAUGGGCGAAAGCCUGACGGAGCAAUACCGCGUGGGGGAGGAAGGCUCUUGGGUCGUAAACCUCUUUUCUCAGGGAAGAAUAAAUGACGGUACCUGAGGAAUCAGCAUCGGCUAACUCCGUGCCAGCAGCCGCGGUAAUACGGAGGAUGCAAGCGUUAUCCGGAAUGAUUGGGCGUAAAGCGUCCGCAGGUGGCAGUGUAAGUCUGCUGUCAAAGGUCAGGGCUCAACCCUGAACAGGCAGUGGAAACUACACAGCUAGAGUGCGGUGGGGGCAGAGGGAAUUCCCAGUGUAGCGGUGAAAUGCGUAGAGAUUGGGAAGAACACCGGUGGCGAAAGCGCUCUGCUAGGCCGUAACUGACACUCAUGGACGAAAGCUAGGGGAGCGAAUGGGAUUAGACACCCCAGUAGUCCUAGCCGUAAACGAUGGAUACUAGGCGUAGCUCGUAUCGACCCGAGCUGUGCCGUAGCUAACGCGUUAAGUAUCCCGCCUGGGGAG
rnacentral:rRNA from 1 species